rnacentral:rRNA from 1 species
CUUUCAACAACGGAUCUCUUGGCUCUCGCAUCGAUGAAGAACGCAGCGAAAUGCGAUAAGUAAUGUGAAUUGCAGAAUUCAGUGAAUCAUCGAAUCUUUGAACGCAACUUGCGCUCUUUGGUAUUCCGAAGAGCAUGCCUGUUUGAGUGUCAUGAAAUCUCAACCAUUAGGGUUUCUUAAUGGAUUGGAUUUGG